ensembl:lncRNA
GUGAGUCCGUGUGCUGCUCUCGAGAGGAGACGUCUCUCGAAAUAUAGUUGGUGCUUUGACGAUAAGACCUUUGACAGGAACAUGAAUGACACGAAUACUUUGAUCUCUAGUCUCAGAAGCUUCAACAGCAAUUAUGAGUCAAGAGGGGUGAAUAUGGGCAGCAGCUACAGCAAUGCCCCAGAGGGUGGUGAGGCAGUAAUUAGAGACAAACCCCAGAGCAUCUCUGCCUGCACGAGCCGGGAGGAGGUGGGCCGGGGGAAGGCUCCGCAGCAAACAACAGCCCUUAUUCUUCUGAGAGACAUAAAACCGACAGGACUUUAUACAUUUCAAAGCAAAACAUCUUCAAAGACAGGUGCCUCCAACCGAACUCGCAUCAUCCCCUACACAGACCUCAAUGACGGAGUAAGAAGAGCUGCUGCAAGUAGCUGUCAGCCCCAAAUACAAAACGCUGCUUCAAAGGACCACGUGAGAAUCCAGAGCUUACAGACCAAGCCAGGCAGCCGCUCGCCACGUUGCAGCUCGCUGGAACAGCCAGUGAUGAACCCAUGUUGUGUUGUGGUGCAGAGAGAAGGAAGCUGCGUGUCUUUCUGCUCAGCAGGCAGGAAUGGUGGCAAUGCCCCUCCUGUCCCCGCCACAUCUCAUGCCCUGUGCAGGACACCCGUCAGGAUACAGCUUGGAGCAAGAGCCUGACAAAGAGUGAAGAAGGGAUGGCGGGGAUUUCUGGAUCCCAUUCCCCCGGAUCUAACAGGGUUUGGUGCUACAAUUCCUUAAGCAGCUUUGGAAAUCUUGACAACAGCAAACGGAAACCAACAGUGCCGGAUGGACCUCCCUCUGCCGCCACAAUGCCACUGUGCAUUGCCGUAUCAAAGUCACUCAACGCCUUGUGAUGCACCAAACAAUAGCAGAGGGGUGCACGAGCACACACUGCAGCUGCUGGCUGGGCACGAGCUCGCUGCGCUCAGAACCAUACACGACGACCCUAACAGCCAGCAGCAGCGCUCACCCAAAUCAACCCCGUGAUUUACGGAGCUGCCCUCCCCUUCCUCCUGCUCCAGAUGUGCUGCCAGCUGCGGUGACACCGCUGCCGAGACUGAGCUUAAUAAAUCUGCCCGCAACGACGCGGCUGUGGCAGCCAGCGAGCAUCCCGCAGCCCUCCUCGCAGCUCCGCACACAACAAAGCAGGUCCUGCCGGGCUCCUGUGCUGCCCACAGCGGCACAGCUCACAGACCCGGCUCAUCCCGGUGCCCCACCAGGAGGACGAGAGCACAGCUGGGCACUGCCGGGAUGCACGAGUGCUGCUGGGGCUCCUGAGCCGGCCCCUGGUUGCCCACGAGCGCCGCCAUAGCCAAUGCAAUUAGUGGUGACAUCCCUACCUUGAUUCCCGUCAUGGUCUGCUGGAAGUCGCUUUGAGAGCCCGGGCUUCAAACCAGCUUCGCCAUCAUGUGAUGUGACAUCGUUGGGAAUUUACUGUGGAAACAAAAAAAACCCCACAAGUGUGAAAUGUGACUGUCGAUAAAGUAAUCCUCAGCAAUCAGACAAAAUUAAUUGUGUGAACAUCAUUGAUCAAACCUACUUAAUACAUCGGGUUUGUAGAAAGCUGGAAUGUAAUUUCAUUACCAAUCUGCUCCAUCCUAAUGAAAUUUCUAAUAACGCUCUAAUUUUGAUUUCGGUUAAGGAGAGAAUGAUGGAAAUUUUCUUUUGCCUCCC